rnacentral:rRNA from 1 species
UACGGGGGGGGCAAGCGUUGUUCGGAAUUACUGGGCGUAAAGGGCUCGUAGGUGGCCAACUAAGUCAGACGUGAAAUCCCUCGGCUUAACCGGGGAACUGCGUCUGAUACUGGAUGGCUUGAGUUCGGGAGAGGGAUGCGGAAUUCCAGGUGUAGCGGUGAAAUGCGUAGAUAUCUGGAGGAACACCGGUGGCGAAGGCGGCAUCCUGGACCGACACUGACGCUGAGGAGCGAAAGCCGGGGGAGCAAACGGG